rnacentral:misc_RNA from 1 species
AGUUUGCUUAUAACGCCCGUUAAACUACAUGCCCCUACCGGUGUACCGUACAACACACGAAUGCACAUGUAUUGAACAAGGAUCUAUAUUACACGUGCGUUUCCACACUAUACUAUAAUUCGGACUGUCUCGUUUAGCAUGGCUAUUUUCCGUAACGCACUCAGCCGCAGUCUACCGGAACUGGACACCGGGCCCCAGGGACAGCCCAUACUGGUCCAGAGUAAGGAGUCCCCAGAAGGAUGGGCCCCCAAAUUGACCGAGAGUUCCCCUACAACGAAAGUUUACAAGCGCCGCUGGAUCAUAGUGACACUGUUCUGUUUGUACUCCAUGAGUAAUGCCUACCAGUGGAUUCAUUUAAACAUCAUCGCCAACAUCAUCACCAAAUACUACAACGCGAGUCUCCCCGAGGACCGCUUCCAAAGGGAGACAACUGUGGACUGGCUAUCCAUGAUCUACAUGUUGGCCUACAUUCCACUCAUAUUUCCAUCCACUUUCUUACUCAACAAGAAGGGCCUCCGUGUUUGUGCCAUUGCCGGGGCCUUUCUGAACGUCCUAGGGGCGUGGCUGAAGGUCGCUUGCAUCUCUCCAGACCGUUUCGCAGUACUGAUGUUUGCGCAGACUGUUUGUGCGAUUGCGCAAAUUUUCAUUCUUGGACUUCCUGCAAAAAUUGCCGCAGUUUGGUUUGGACCCAAUGAAGUCUCCACUGCUACCUCUCUCGGAGUUUUUGGGAAUCAGGUGGGCGUGGCUAUCGGCUUCCUGGUACCUCCUAUCCUGGUCCCGAACAGCGACUCGCUGGAGCAGAUCGGGGAUGAUCUGAGUAUUAUGUUCUACGCAGGCGCCGGCUACAUGACGCUUCUCUUUAUCCUCGUCAUAAUCAUUUUUAAGGAGAGACCUCCUCACCCGCCUAGUAAGGCCCAGAUGCUGGCGUUACAGAACGUGCACGAAGAGCAUUAUGGGAGAUCUCUACUCAAUCUGUUCAAGAACGUCGGGUUUGACAUUCUUACAAUUACAUAUGGUGUUAACACCGGCUGUUAUUAUGCCAUCUCCACGUUACUAAACCCCAUCAUCUUGGAUUACUUCCCGGGACAUGAAGAGAGCGCGGGACAGAUUGGUUUAACCAUUGUCAUAGCCGGAGUGGGCGGGUCUAUCGCGGCCGGGAUCUGGCUCGACAGAACAAGGACCUACAAAGGCACAACACUAGGUAUAUACUUCCUGUCCAUGGCGGGGAUGGUAGCCUUCACCUUUACCCUUGACCUAGGUCUGCUCUGGGUUGUAUUUCUAUGCGCGGGGGCAUUAGGUUUUUCGGAAUAAUCCUGACGAUAGGUUGUAGAGCAAUGAUUAACAAGGUGGGGACGCUAGGUUCCAACAUCCUGAUAUCGGGCACUCUCCUGUUGGGAACUAUAUGUACAGGAUUCAUUGCAGCCGAUUAUAGGCGUCAAGAAGCGGGGAAAGAGAUACUGGAUCAAAUGGAUAACGUUAUGCAGAUAGAAAUAUCAGAGAAAGAGUCCGAGAAGUCCCGAAUAGCAGAGCCAAGGAGCCGUGACAAUCAGAUAUGACAUUGUCAAUAGACAUUAACUUCUGUACAGUGCUAAUUUAGAACCGAUCAAUCCGAUUGAAAAUAGACUAAUGUGUACAAUCAACAGGUGCUACCAGAACACUAGGAUAUUAUGUUUGACAUAAUGAAUGACACUCACUAGGCUUUUUUAGAUAGUUUUUUUAAGUGCUACAUGGGAUUGCAGUGUGGGGUAGGGGGAUCAGAAUAGCGAUAGCAAUAUGUCAAAUAUUUAAUUUUGCUAACAAACAUCUCAUCUCCAUGAAAAACCUUUAUUUCUUUGAAGCACAGAAAAAGCUUCUUGACAAGACAUGAAUUUGGAAACAACACAAUCUAUAAUAUAACGGAGAUUGAUUUGGUUAACAAAAUAAUGUUUUGAAAAACUAUUUUCUAUUGAACAAUUUCAUUGAUGAGUGGUUUUUUGUUGAAAAUAAAUUUUUAAUAAAGGGUUUAGAAGAAUAAAUCCUGUCAAAAUAU